CCAGACUCCUACGGGAGGCAGCAGUGGGGGAUAUUGCACAAUGGGGGAAACCCUGAUGCAGCGACGCCGCGUGGGUGAAGAAGUAUUUCGGUAUGUAAAGCCCUAUCAGCAGGGAAGAAAGAAGACGGUACCUGACUAAGAAGCCCCGGCUAACUACGUGCCAGCAGCCGCGGUAAUACGUAGGGGGCGAGCGUUAUCCGGAUUCACUGGGUGUAAAGGGAGCGUAGACGGCAGUGCAAGUCUGGAGUGAAAGGCGGGGGCUCAACCCCCGGACUGCUCUGGAAACUGUACGGCUGGAGUGCAGGAGAGGUAAGUGGAAUUCCUAGUGUAGCGGUGAAAUGCGUAGAUAUUAGGAGGAACACCAGUGGCGAAGGCGGCUUACUGGACUGUAACUGACGUUGAGGCUCGAAAGCGUGGGGAGCAAACAGGAUUAGAUACCCCGGUACC
rnacentral:rRNA from 1 species